rnacentral:rRNA from 1 species
UACGUAGGGGGCAAGCGUUGUCCGGAAUUAUUGGGCGUAAAGCGCGCGCAGGCGGUCGAUUAAGUCUGGUGUCUAAGCUCAAGGCUCAACCUUGGGACGCAUUGGAAACUGGACGACUGGAGUGUAGGAGAGGAAAGUGGAAUUCCACGUGUAGCGGUGAAAUGCGUAGAGAUGUGGAGGAACACCAGUGGCGAAGGCGACUUUCUGGCCUAUAACUGACGCUGAGGCGCGAAAGCGUGGGGAGCAAACAGG